CGAAUUAUCACAAUAGACAAACCGACCUCCAAUGCGUAGCUGAACGAACCUCUAUUAUGGAUCAAAAGCCAACCUUGGUGCCCUCGCCGCCAAUUGACUGGGUCCAACCAUUGGCUUGACCGAGCCCAUGGCAUCCAAUGGCACCAACCACCCGAAGAAACGAUCAACAGCGUAGUCUUAUGCCGACGGCUGCGAGGAGCCGGGAAUUGGAGCAAAACGGGGACGUACUCUCUCCAAUGGCGGUCGUAGCGAACGCAUGUGCCGCCCCUCGUGCACGCCGAAGGGGUCGCGGCACUGUUGGGAAAUUUCCGCAAACACGUCAAGGGCAAGCCCAUGGUCUUCUGCUUGGACGUGAACCCCGUCUGCUGCGAGGAAGCCGAGCCCAGCCUGCGCUCCUUCGUUCGCUGGCUCGCACUUUUCUUCCACAAGUCAGCCUCCGCGAUCCCGUCAUUGACCUAAGCUCGCCAAUCUUAUCUAAAUUAUUCAUCGGAACGCCCAGAAUGAUAGCUCGAGAACCUAAUUUUCCAUAAAGAUUGCUACUUUAUUGGUGUUAGACAUGGGGAAGAAGGGAGUGAGUGCAGAAGGAAGCUGCUGCCUUCAAGAAAGCUCACAGGAGGAGUGCUUUCAGGUAAUUUUUGGCACCUCGCACCGUUGUCGGAAUGGUUUUGAUGGUGGUCUGAGUUCUGCUGAGCCGCAAGUGAUGGAUGUUCUUCGAAAGUGCAACAUGCCGGUUAUUAAAGUAAAUGGCCAUGAGGCAGAUAAUGUUGUAGCAAUGCUUCCAGACCAGGUUUUGCAAAAAGGGUUUCGAGUUGUUCUUGGCUAUCCAGAAAAAGAUUUCAACCACCUGAUAUGUGAAGAUGUGCAAAUGGUCAUGCCACGCUUGAGUUUGGUUGUUGGUCUUUUACACAUUAAGGCAUUACCUUGCCCAGUAUAAGUAUGACCCGAGCUCUGAUUUGGGCCUUCAUGAGUAUAAGGUAUUUGUGUUGCGUCCUGUUAUGCCAUUCUUCUCCAAAUGCUCCAGGUUAUUGAUGGUAUCACUUUAAGAUGGUAUUUUAUGGGAGAUGAAGCUGAUGGUGUUCCUGGAAUUCAGCACUUGGCCUCAGCUUUGGUCACAAGACAGCCCUGAAACUCUUUAGAAAGCAUGGUCCUUUUAAGAAUUGACUCGAUGCAGCUGCAAUAGUAACAAUGGGUAAAGAUUAUGCCCAGGAUGUUCUCACAAAAUAUGCUGAUUAUCUGCAGAAAAAUUAUGAGGUUCUUAGCUUAAGGAGGUAUAUCCUCAAUUUUCCAGACAACAAAAGAAGUUCUUUGACUUUUUAUUGACUUAGUUUGUGUUAUUUCCAAUGAUUCAAUUUACACAUUAUUUAUGAUUUCACAUAUGUGCAUAUAAGCAUCCAUUGUUGUUAAUAUCAAUGACUUGGCUAAUGGAUAGGGAUGUUAAUUU